UGGUCCAGCGGCCCGGCCCGGGUCUGUCUCAGGAGGCCGCCCGGCGCUAUGGUGAACUCACCAAGCUCAUACGGCAGCAGCAUGAGAUGUGCCUGAACCACUCAAACCAAUUCACUCAGCUGGGCAACAUCACUGAAACCACCAAGUUUGAAAAGUUGGCAGAGGACUGUAAGCGGAGCAUGGACAUUCUGAAGCAAGCCUUCGCCCGGGGUCUCCCCACGCCCACCGCCCGCUUUGAGCAAAGGACCUUCAGCGUCAUCAAGUAAGGCUCCUGAUCUACGCCCCACCAUGUGGCC
rnacentral:lncRNA from 1 species